UUCGUGUUCGUUUCAUCACGGAGCAAGGAUAUGUGAAGUUACCAUUAAAAGCAAUCCCAAAAUCCUCAUUUGGAGUAAGUUUGCUUGCUGCUGGAUUGUAGAAAAGCUUCAGCUUCUCUCCCUAAGUCGGAGGAAGACCGUUCAUCGUCUUCCAA